rnacentral:rRNA from 1 species
UACGUAGGGUGCGAGCGUUUGUCCGGAAUUAUUGGGCGUAAAGGGCUCGUAGGCGGUUUGUCGCGUCGGGAGUGAAAACCCAGGGCUUAACUCUGGGCUUGCUUUCGAUACGGGCAGACUAGAGGUAUGCAGGGGAGAACGGAAUUCCGUGGUGUAGCGGUGAAAUGCGCAGAUAUCAGGAGGAACACCGGUGGCGAAGG